CUGAAAGUCUCCGAUCAAUACGGAUAGCCAACCGCACAAAUGCAUCAAAUUCAACAGGAAGAUCAACACGAGCUAGCUCAUCUUUUAUAGCUUCUGAGAGACCUCUUCUGAAGUGGGUUCCAAGUAGUAUCAGUAACCCACUGUCUGAAUUCAGCAGCAUAUUCAGCCACAGAGCGCCUCCCUUGAUGUAAAUGAAGGAGAGUGGCUUCUGCUGUAGCACAGCGAUUGGGAUCAUCAAAAACUAGGCACAUGGCCUCAAGAAAGUCUUU